AUUGAACGCUGGCGGCAUGCCUUACACAUGCAAGUCGAACGGCAGCGGACCUUCGGGUGCCGGCGAGUGGCGAACGGGUGAGUAAUAUAUCGGAACGUACCUUUCAGUGGGGGAUAACGUAGCGAAAGUUACGCUAAUACCGCAUAUUCUGUGAGCAGGAAAGCAGGGGAUCGCAAGACCUUGCGCUGAUUGAGCGGCCGAUAUCAGAUUAGCUAGUUGGUGGGGUAAAGGCUCACCAAGGCGACGAUCUGUAGCGGGUCUGAGAGGAUGAUCCGCCACACUGGAACUGAGACACGGUCCAGACUCCUACGGGAGGCAGCAGUGGGGAAUUUUGGACAAUGGGCGCAAGCCUGAUCCAGCCAUGCCGCGUGAGUGAAGAAGGCCUCGGUUGUAAGUACGUCUUCUAGCAGG
rnacentral:rRNA from 1 species